GUUUGAUCCUGGCUCAGGACGAACGCUGGCGGCGUGCCUAACACAUGCAAGUCGAACGGAAACAGGCUGAAGCUUGCUUUGGACUGUUUUAGUGGCGGACGGGUGAGUAACGCGUGAGGAACCUGCCUUCUAGAGGGGGAUAACGUCUGGAAACGGACGCUAAUACCGCAUGAUAUUCCGGGAUCACAUGGUUUUGGAAUCAAAGGAGCAAUCCGCUGGAAGAUGGACUCGCGUCCGAUUAGCCAGUUGGCGGGGUAACGGCCCACCAAAGCCACGAUCGGUAGCCGGACUGAGAGGUUGAACGGCCACAUUGGGACUGAGACACGGCCCAGACUCCUACGGGAGGCAGCAGUGGGGGAUAUUGCACAAUGGAGGGAACUCUGAUGCAGCAACGCCGCGUGAGGGAAGACGGUCUUCGGAUUGUAAACCUUUGUCCUCGGUGACGAUAAUGACGGUAGCCGAGGAGGAAGCUCCGGCUAACUACGUGCCAGCAGCCGCGGUAAUACGUAGGGAGCGAGCGUUGUCCGGAUUUACUGGGUGUAAAGGGUGCGUAGGCGGCUCUGCAAGUCAGGUGUGAAAACCAUCGGCUUAACUGAUGGACUGCAUUUGAAACUGUGGAGCUUGAGUGAAGUAGAGGCAGACGGAAUUCCCGGUGUAGCGGUGAAAUGCGUAGAGAUCGGGAGGAACACCAGUGGCGAAGGGCGGUCUGCUGGGCUUUAACUGACGCUGAGGCACGAAAGCAUGGGUAGCAAACAGGAUUAGAUACCCUGGUAGUCCAUGCUGUAAACGAUGAUUACUAGGUGUGGGGGGUCUGACCCCUUCCGUGCCGGAGUUAACACAAUAAGUAAUCCACCUAGGAAGUACGACCGCAAGGUUGAAACUCAAAGGAAUUGACGGGGGCCCGCACAAGCAGUGGAGUAUGUGGUUUAAUUCGAAGCAACGCGAAGAACCUUACCAGGUCUUGACAUCCAACUAAUCCUGUAGAGAUACGGGAGUGCCCUUCGGGGAAAGUUGAGGCAGGUGGUGCAUGGUUGUCGUCAGCUCGUGUCGUGAGAUGUUGGGUUAAGUCCCGCAACGAGCGCAACCCUUGUGAUUAGUAGCUACGCAAGAGCACUCUAAUCAGACUGCCGUUGACAAAACGGAGGAAGGUGGGGACGACGUCAAAUCAUCAUGCCCCUUAUGAUCUGGGCUACACACGUACUACAAUGGCCAUCAACAGAGGGAAGCAAAACCGCGAGGCAGAGCAAACCCCUAAAAAUGGUCUCAGUUCGGAUCGCAGGCUGAAACCCGCCUGCGUGAAGCUGGAAUUGCUAGUAAUCGCGGAUCAUCAUGCCGCGGUGAAUACGUUCCCGGGCCUUGUACACACCGCCCGUCACACCAUGGGAGCCGGUAAUACCCGAAGUCGGUAGUCUAACCGCGAGGAGGACGCCGCCGAAGGUAGGAUUGGCGACUGGGGUGAAGUCGUAACAAGGUAGCCG
rnacentral:rRNA from 1 species